GACGAACGCUGGCGGCGUGCUUAACACAUGCAAGUCGAACGGAAAGGCCCUGCUUUUGUGGGGUGCUCGAGUGGCGAACGGGUGAGUAACACGUGAGUAACCUGCCCUUGACUGUGGGAUAACUUCAGGAAACUGGGGCUAAUACCGGAUAGGAGCUCCUGCCUCAUGGUGGGGGUUGGAAAGUUUCGGUGGUUGGGGAUGGACUGGCGGCUUAUCAGCUUGUUGCUGGGGUAGUGGAUUACCAUGGCUUGGCCGCGUAGCCGGCCUGAGAGGGUGAGAGGACAAAUUGGAACUGAGAUGCGGCCCAGACUCGUCCGGUAGGCAGCGGUGGAGUAUAUUACACUAUGGGCGGGAGGAUGAUGUAGCAAAGCCGCGCGCGGGAUGUCGGGAUUGGGGUUGUGUACCGAUGCCGCCUGUGACGAGACGUGAGUGACGGUACUGGGUGAAGAAGCACCGGCUAACUACGUG
rnacentral:rRNA from 1 species